GGUGCAUUCUGGCAACUAGGUACCCAAUCAUGGACCUACGACCACGUCAAGAAGUACCAAAAUCCACCAAGUUCAGAUAUUCAAUCAUGUCAAGUGCAGCAAAAAGGUAGUAUGAAAACUUGCCAAUGUUGAGAAACAAAGUCCUAAAGCUUUGACACUGGAUACCAGAACUUGGGUCUUGCAGUAACCAUCCAAAUUGCC